ensembl:lncRNA
ACUGGAGACAACCACAUACACAACAUUGACGGAUGUUUUGAUUCAUAUUUUCUAAUUUAGUUUAACUGCUUCAGGAAUAUUCUGUGCAAUGAGAGGUGGCGUGUUUUUGCGUCUGCUUAUUUGCAGGGACAUCACCAUGGCGCCCGCGUCUCGUCCACAGAUGGUAAUCUCCUUGGUACGCUGUGGGAAAUAGGCCGUGACCUCUUCUACUGACUCACAAGACAUCCUGAUAUCACACGGCCGAAUGUAUGUGGACACUGAAACAUGACACACGGAUGCAAUUGUUGGACAUUGUAUCCCUAAACUACUGGAGUAAAUACACAACCGUACCUCUUCUUGAAAAGCUUUUUUCACUAGAUGAGACUUGGAACCCGGCUGCAGGAGCAACAGUGAGGUGGGUUACUGAUUUUGGGAGACACGUCCUCACAGCCGAUGGGCAACCCAGAGGUGCUGGAAGGAGUGCAGGUCUGAGCUCGGCACGGGUCAGUCCGGGUUUCUUACCCCAACGCGGGCU